rnacentral:lncRNA from 1 species
ACCGCGGCGACUUGGCGGCGGGUGCCAUGCGUCUGGAGCUUCACAUUCUCUGCCCCCCACCCACCGCGCCGGCGCUCCCUUGUCACGCCUCGGGAAGCGCGCACCUGCCAAGCAGGAUGAAUAAUCUGAUAUCAUGUGAAAUGAGGAAAUAAGAAGCUUUCUGCUGACUUCAUUUUGACCCAGGGUCCAAAAGGUGAUGUAAUCCUGUGGCAAGAAGAUUCAAAACUGUGGACUAUCUUGCAAAAAAUACAAGAAGAUAUUGAAAGUUUUCAUGAGUGCCUACCACCUAAUCUCAAACACUAUCAUUCAUAUGUGCCUCAUUGAGCAAAUCUUUAAUGAGGAUCUAUAUGCCAGCAAUAUCUUUUGCUUGGGAGCAGAAACAGAAAGUACAUGAUGGACUUCAUUGAAGGAUGGAGAUUUGGAAGACAUGAAUGGAUGAAGAACCAAGUGCGUGAGGGCACCUAUCAGGAUUAUUGCUGAAAUCCUUAUGGAGUUAACUGGCUGAGAGGAAGGCAAGCAAGCGAGGACUGAUGGGCCCUUGGCACUGUGAGAACAGUGGAGGAGGAGGGAGCAGGGUUCAUAAGGAGGAGCACAAACAGAAAGUUCAGUGGCCCCAAUAAAAAUAACACCAGAAUCUUCCAGAUACUUUCUCCAUAAGGCGAAAAGUAGAGAUGGGGUUUCACCAUGUUGCCCAGGCUGGUCUCAAACUCCUGAGCUCAGGCCAUCUGCCCGCCUCGGCCUCCCAAAGUGCUAGGAUUACAGAAGGUGCCUGCUUCCCCUUCACCUUCCACCAUGAUUGUAAGUUUCCUGAGGCCUCCCCAGACAUGUGGAACUGUGAGUCAAUUAAAUCUCUUUUCUUUAUAAA